rnacentral:lncRNA from 1 species
ACUCAGCUCUGUCUCCCUCUUUGUUCUCCUUAUUCUUAUACAGCUUCCAUCCCUGUACCGGCUUCCAGAAACUCCAGGUUACACUCUAGCAAGUUCUCAAUCCCAGAGAUAAGAGAGAGACCGGUUCUCAAUAGUUCCAGCAAACUUCACAGGAUUGACUUCACUGGGUGGAUUUUGUCGAAGGAGGUCAUGGAGAAGCUGUGACCACUGGUUGACCUGAGAACCAGACCUGGAGAGUUGGAGGCUCCUCACCCCUCCUCCGCCCUUGGACUGCAUGCUCUGCCCACUGUUCUCACGGCCUUGAGAGACCAUCUGGAUGGUGUUUGUACCUGAACACCAUUAAGGCCUCUCUGGACAUCUUUAAGAAUCCUGUGGGAGUCAGAAAAGGCCAGGGAAGGAGCUCAGGCUGUGAAAGGCCCAGGAGUCUGAGUCAAGUCCUGGCGCUCCUGUAAGAUGGGUUCCGCGAGAGCUCAGCCUUGGAAAGGACCCCAGAAGCUUUCUGUGUUCAGCGGAAGGGUGGUGAUUUAUCUUUUUUCCCAUUUCCAUCUGACGUCAGUUGCUUUGAACUCGAGGGAAGAAGGGACAGAUGGCCUGUGUUGGAGGGACUUGCGGGAGGAGGACAGGAAAGGAAAAAGGCAAGAAAGAAGACCCCUCCUCUAAUCUCUGUGACUGUGCUAAGUUGCUUCAGUUGUGUGACUCUUUUGCGACUCCAUGAACUGUAGCCCGCCAGGCUCCUCUGUCCAUGGGAUUCUCCAGGCAAGAAUACUGGAGUGGGUUGCCAUUUCCUUCUCCUCCCAGAGAGCGAACCUGCAUCUCUUACGUCUCCUACACUGGCAGGUGAGUUCUUUACCACUAGUGCCACUGGGAAGCUCACACUAAUCUCUGUAUCCUCAAAAGACACCAUUCAGCCUGCCCCUCCUACUUCCUGAUCCAGCCUGGACCCUGCAGGGGGCGGGGGUGGGGGGAACAGCAAAUGGAAGCAACAUCUCAAAUGGAAAUCAAUAAGCAGUUUAC